rnacentral:lncRNA from 1 species
GGUUGGCCUGAGUUUUUAAAUGAACCACAGUGCUGGCCCGUGGCCCUGUGACUUCAACAGGGGGAUGUUCUUUUCCCAAUGGAGUAUGAUGUGUGUAUCUGCUUCUUCCCCUUCUCUUCCAUAAGGAGACAGCUUCGGCUAGAAUAAGGCCUCCGUGGCAGGACUGUCUUCCCUACUCCAAGAAGGGGAUACAACUAGCCUCUAGACUUCUCCAGGGAUGUUGGAUGAGCACUUCAAUGCCCGAUUCCAUCUCUGCCCUGUCUACCUGGAAACCCUACUUGGCUGUGUCAAGUGGGUCAAUUAGGAUAUGGUUGGAAGAGUAAUUGUUGUCUGUCGUGUUAGGACAGUGUGAGCAAGCUAGAAGUGAACAUGUAUUAAUUUGGUCAAACUGUUAAGAUGCUCUUGGAAGAUAAUUUUGGAAGAUAAAAACACCCUGCUGGCCUGGGAUGCAGCAUCCACCAUCCCAGCAGCCACAUGAUUCUUUUGUGCCUACUGUCCACCUUUGAGGCCAGAUCUAGAACAGAAACUGAUCACCAUGGGCUGGGGCAGCUGGCCUGUAGAACCUGCAUGUUGAGGGUUUCAAUAGUCUCCUUCUGGAAAUUUCCAGGUAGAGAAAAGCUCCCUGAAAUAAAGAGGAGUCACCCAGCUAGGGUUAGAUGCAGGAGCUGCUCUGUGGAGCUCUUGUUACUAAAAGCAGCAUUGAGCCCACUAAGUGCUGGCCUAGGGUUUUAGACAAAUUUCUGGGUCUUGGGGUUGCAUUGACAGACCAACCGACACCAGACUCCCACAACACUGAGGGAGAGUUCGUCAUGGGUCCCAGAUGCUGAAAGGCAAAGUGUGACUGAGACAGCAGAGGUGUAGUUCUGAAAGGGCCAUUGGCGGCAGCCGGGGUUCACAAUGAGCAUCUGCUCCAGACCACUGUGAGAAACAGCAGAUGUUAAAGUGACUAACAUUCUCAUCCACCUAUAGGAGAUGAAAGCCACGCUAUCACCCGCCAGCUGCUCCAUCCACACUGGGCACUGGAAUCAUAACCAGGUGAACCCCACAUGCCCCGCUAUUUAAAAAACAAAACAAGACAGGCCAGACACACAGAACAGUUUGCUCUUGGAACCAGUGUGUAUUUGUAACAGGGUUAUGGGUACUGAGAAUGGCCCCUUCCUUAUACUACAUUUUAAUGAAACCAACGGCUGUGGAAGGUGGGAUUUGGGUGGUAUAGUCCCAGUGAAGAUCCACGAGAUGCAGAGGUUAGGCGAGACAGAGUCUUUAGUACCAGAUGAUGGUCACUAAGAGAGAAUAAGUCUUGAGGGUGCGUAGAAGAACUUUCAGGGGAACUAAGUGGCUUUGAUGCAACUCGACUGCGCCAACGCCGUCCGGAAGACCCAAUGUUUGCCUUUCGCCUCCUACCUGAGAGAAGACAGGCAGGGUGUUCUGCAUGGAAGGCUAUGCCCAGAAUCUCUUCACUGUGUACCAGCUGGACAAGCAUAAUUGAGGGAGGUUCAGCUGGAAAGGCCAGCAGUGGAAUCCAGUGGCGAGCCUGGCAUUCUGUGCUGUGUGCUGCUCAUUCACCAGAGCCUUGUCUACAGCACCACUGACUCUGAACGGGGGCAGCAGCACACAGGUUCUCUCCAGUCUCAGAAACACAAGGGCCUGCCCCGAAGGUCAGGAGCAGCAUCCACACUUAGGGAGAGAGCACCUGUCAGGCAAGUUAUCACUGCUUCCGGUUUCGUGGAACUAUUCCAAUGUAGCCAGGUCCCUCUGGAGUCCAGAAGAGAGAUCCUCUUGUUUAUUGAAUCUGGCAUUCUCUGAUAUUUUUGGUCUGGCAAACCUCACCGCUAGAUAAAUGUAUAUACUCUCCCUGAACAAAGUUUCAGCUUCUUUUAGAGAAAGAAAAAAUAUGUUCUCUAUAAACAGACUGUAUAAAGGACAACAAAAGGACUUGGGAGACUGGUUAAGCAAGACCUAUGCCUCUGAUACUAUUCACUUUUUUCUAGUAAUUCCAGCAGCAUCUAGAACUAGAAUGAAGUAGUUAGAAGUUCCUCGUGAGCUUCCCAGGUCUCUGCUCUGAGCUUGCCAGGGGUCCAGAGGCCAGUCCCAUGUCACAGUGUUGAAACUUCACAAGCUACUAAUAUACCUUCUAAUCUCCCAUUUUAUAGCCAAGAAAUUGGGCCCAAAGAGAUUUGUCCAGAAGCAUUCAAUCAGCACCCCACACACAGACCUACAGCCCAGGUAUCCUGAGUUUCAGCCCUACAUCUACCAGACCCAUUCCGAAUCCUGGUUUCUUAACCCAGAAAGGAUGACUACAAAUGCAAACCCAGCACACAGUGCUAAAGAUGCCCAGUGGACCCGAGCUCUGUCUGCCUGCAGUUCCUCCAGGCUCAGCUCAGAGGUGUUAUCUUACCAGAUGCACGCUUUGGAGAUGGAAGACGAGGCAACUUAAAGUAGAGUGGUGGCUUCUUAUACAGGUCAAAAUCCAGGUGGCGCUGGCUCCAGCUCCACCUAUCCCGAUCCAACACAGGCUUCAGCACAUUAGUAAACAGUGCGUUUUCCUGCCACUCCUAAAGAAGAGCAGCAAGUGAGUAAGACGGAAGGACAUCCCGAAGCACCCCCGACUUGAGGCCCUGCUCCUCCCUGAAGACCUCAUUUAGCUCUCUGAUGGGUGGCAGUUUAAGAUCCUGCUGGCUGCUUCCAGUGCUGCUCUGAAGACCCCAUACUUGGAACCCACCGGCUGUGAGCCAGGCCUGGCGGGACUUCUUCUGGGCUUUCUUCUCCUCUUCCUUUGGGUCCUGAAAAUCCACCAUAGCUGAGAGGUAUGCUCAUUUGCUCAGCCCUGGGGAUCAGGAGGUGAAGCUCUCAGCUUCUGCUCCAGCACCAUGCCUGUCUGCUUCUCACCAGGAUGGUUAUCGACUAACCCUCAGCCCCCAAUUAAAUGCUUUCUUAUCA